AAGAGUUUUGAGUUUUGACACCUGCCUGUUGCCACCUGUGUCAAAUGUUUACGUAUAAAUUGAAUUGUGAUUAUUUUGGAAUUGAUAUAGAAAAAAUGACUUAAUUUAGCACAUAAAAUAAAAUAAAAUGGCAUCUUCUAGCAACUCUAAACAUGUUUACUAUGAAGAUCCACCAGCAGGAGUCCUUAAUGAAAAUGAAUUCUUUUGCACAGAAAAAAUUGUACCUAGAAAAAUUAAACCUCAGAAUAUAGUUUUGAGGCUCAUGGAAAGAGAAAUAUACGGUUCUCGAAAACCAGGGUCCCAUUUUCACGUUGUGAGAGAAUUUUACCAGAAUGUUUUUCCGAAUUUGACAAUAGUUAAUGUAGAGAAACCACCUUGUUUUUUGAGGAAAUUUAGUCCAGAUGGUAAACAUUUUAUAGCAUUUUCUGCUGAUCAAACUUCUUUGGAGAUAUAUGAGUACCGAGGUGCUUCAGCGGCCGGUGACUUGGUGGCUGGAUAUCCUUCAGAUUUACUGAAUGCAGAUGCAGAUGCACAUCACAGAAUACGGACACAUAUUUUUUAUAGAUUUUUCAAGCCUAAAUUUACCGUAAAUGUAUGCCAACAAAGAGAAGUCACUAGAGCUGAGCGUAACCUUGGACAACUGCCGUUUAUGGAUCAGCAAUUGAAUAGGGAAUGUAGUUUGUUCACUGAAGAUGGCCGUUAUGUAAUAGUGGGAUCGGCCGCACACAUCCCUGAUGAAUCAAGACCACACUUUUACUACAUACAUAGUAACAACGAGGCAGUUACACCUACCAUCAGGUCCCCUUUGGAAGACUAUUCUCUCCACUUGGUAGAUCUUCAUCAUGGCAAACUAUGUGACACUAAACACUUUAAAAUCGACAAAAUAUACUUAUCACACAAUCAAGGUAUAUACUUGUAUAAAGAAGUUUUAGCAGUAUUAUCAGUGCAACAUCAGACCAUUCAUCUUUUUCAAAUUGUGGAGGGAAUGUUAAUAGAAAUCAGGAAAAUCGGAAGAUAUUGUUAUGAUGAUGACCCCUUUAUUGUCAGUUCAGUAUUUAUAACAAGCAUGAAUGAAAGACCAUUCCACGAAGAGACAAUAAACAGUUUGAAGCACCGAUUGCUUGUGUUCCUUUUUAAAAGAGCAAAGGCUAUAAGUGACGACACAGGUGACCCUUUGGAAUUAAGAAAAUUCUAUAAAUAUUUUGACAUGUUCAGAAGUUUGAGAAUGUGGAAAAUGCAAUUGUUAGAUGAAGAUCAUUUGUUUAUCAAAUACGCGAGCGAAGAAGUUGUAACCCUGCGAGUCGCAGAACCAAACAGCCAGUUCUCAUUCUUUGUUAUUUACAACAUUAGCCAAAGCAAAAUAUUGGAAGUGUACGAGAAUACGUCAGAAGCGCUGUUGCAGUUGUUUGAAAACUAUUGUGACUGUUUUAGAAAUGCAAGAUUGUGCGCUGACUCACAAUUCACGUGUUCACCUUCGAAUAAUUUGUAUGCGCGUUUGACGCAGCAGAGAUUCAAGCAAACAAUAGUGAGGGCUAUAUACGGCGGACGGACGGAGGCGACAAAACGAAUACUAGCGCAAUUACCUAUUAGUGCGCAGUCGUAUAGUGGUUCGCCGUAUUUAGAUUUAGGGCUUUUUAGUUAUGACGACAAGUGGGUUUCUGUCAUGGAAAGGCCUAAAGCUUAUGGGGAAUAUCCUAUAAGGUUUUAUGCUCGUGAUUCAGGAUUGCUAAAGUUCAAGAUAUACGCUGGGGUCCUGGGCCAGUCGGUCCCGGCGAGCGCCCGACGACUCGUUGCCUUUACAUUCCAUCCAACCGAUCCAUUCGCAAUUAGCGUCCAGAGAACAAACUCCGAAUACAUAGUCAACUUCCACAUAAGAAACGCAGUGUUUAGUUGAGCGCAGAAUGUACCUAAUAAGUAUAAUAUAAAUAAUAGGCGAAGGUGACGUCACUUCGCUAGUGUAUCCUGACGGUUCAGUGCAGUAUUUCUUCAUGCCAAUAUCGCAAUGGUGGCCGCAGAUGUAUAAUAACCCAAUAAAUAAUGUCAAUCCUACUUGGAAUCCAAAUGUCGCGGUCUGGCUGGUUCGCAGUAUUAAUAACCCUCAGCCACCGCCAGUUUUUUGCCAAUUACGCCAAAGAACAUCUGGAGUACUACAAAAACAGUUGUACGACUUGGACAUCAGCAAAUCUGAUCCCACAUUUAAACUAAAGUUCCAUAAUGACGGUUGGACGUCGACCACCGAUUUGGUAUAUUUUUUCCCGUCCUUACGUUCACCCAAUUGGUUAAGCGAAACGCAAUACAAAGGGAGUGCUGCUAUACAAGUUGAACUACCUCCUUGGACUAUUUGUCACAGCGAACCUGUUCGAAAAACUUGUGAUUGUGCACGGAAGGAGGGAAAAAUACUUAGUACUUGUGACGCUGAACAUACGGAAGAUGAAGCUGUAACGAGCAUGUCUAUUGAUGACUUAAACUCCAAAUACGACAUUGGUUUCAAUAAAAAUCCUAAAAAAUGUAGCUGUAGCCAAAUGAGACGCAAAAGUAAAAAAAAUGUAACGUGCCAAUGUAAUGAUUUACCGAAAUCGAACACAACAAGCAAAAUGAUUUCUACUUUCACAGAUCAAGCUAGCACUUGUCUAGAUAGACGUGAGCGACCCUCGCAAACUUUAAAGCAUGCUUCCAGUUCUACACUGAAAACUGCCAGCAAAAACAGUAUUAAGCCCGAACUAUGGACGCCAAAAACAUCUUUUGCUAAAAAAGCAUUGAAGUCAAAAUCAUCUGAAAAAGCAGUAGAUUUAAGCAGUUGCCCCAGCGACUGCAGCUGUCACAAAUUGAAUUAAGUAAUGAAAAACCUUGUAAUCCUUCUUGAUAUUUAUAUUUUGUUAUUAUACAUUUUAUCCCUUAACAUUACAAGUACCUAUGUAUUUACAACAAUGAAAAUAAUAGUACAGUUAUAAACAAAACAAUAUGAGAUUUAACUUUUCCCUGAAUACUAAAUAAAUAAGAUACAACUGCAAUACUUAGGUAUUUCGAACAAAUAUUUAAUGUCUAUAAAACAGUCGUAAUAUGAAUUUAUUGCCUCCUUGACUUAAGUAUCGUAAUUAUUUUAAGAUAAGUUUCAGAAACACCAAAAGAAAGUUUAAUUGUAUUUCAAACUAUACUUUGGCUCGACACAAUGAUUCGUGAUAGAAUCGGAUCGAUGUACAAUUGUUAAGAAUUUUAAACACACAAUCAUAAUCCUUAUAAAUAAAUUGUAAAAACAAUUUAACACUUAAAGCUAGUAUUGCAUAAGAUCGGAUAUUAUAAGAACGGAUUUUAAUUGAAUAUAGUCUCUGAAUCAAGUCAUAUUUAGAAACGCACGAGUGUAAACAUCUAAACCCUUCAUUAAAAUAUAUGCAUAUAAAUAAUGUGUACACAUAUAGUUGGAAAGUAUUUUUAGCAUUUAUGACCACAUCAAAUUUACAAUAACUCUUAGAUUGGACUUAACACACAUUCCAUGUGAGAUUCAAUUACCUAUAUUAUAAUAAUAAUUGUCAUGCUGGACAUACAUAAUAUUUAUUCUAAUACAAUACUUAAAAGCAUUUAAAAGCUCAUUGCUAAUAAGGUUUCAUGUGUUCAUGUAUUUAGUGCGACCAACAUAUUAUUUUUGCCUUGGGUUUGUUUUAUUUUAAGUAGUACAGUAAAAAGAUUCAUAAUCAUGCUCCGGCGAGUAGAGGGUGUGAGAGGAGGAGGGUUUGCGCGAUGUUGUUCCCCUUGAGAGACUUAUUAACAAUGUUAUGCGAGUGAGUAGUGACUCAACCCACUUGCAAUCAAUACAUGAAGACAAUUGAUUAUCUGCAAACUCGAUAAAAUAUGAGUAUGAAUAUUGUAUCUGGUUGCACGUCCAACUAAAAAAAAUCACAAUCAGCCAAUGUAAUUGUUAAAUUAGGUUUUAAAUAGUUCAGUUAAUAAGUCAAUUUAGAUCUCGACACGUAGUGAAUAGACAUAAAACGGCGUAACAGCGUCCAGCGAUGCCAAUUCGACAAUUUAAAUA